UACGGAGGGGGCUAGCGUUGUUCGGAAUUACUGGGCGUAAAGCGCACGUAGGCGGCUUUGUAAGUUAGAGGUGAAAGCCCAGGGCUUAACCCUGGAAUUGCCUUUAAGACUGCAUCGCUAGAAUCGUGGAGAGGUAAGUGGAAUUCCGAGUGUAGAGGUGAAAUUCGUAGAUAUUCGGAAGAACACCAGUGGCGAAGGCGACUUACUGGACACGCAUUGACGCUGAGGUGCGAAAGCGUGGGGAGCAAACAGG
rnacentral:rRNA from 1 species